CCUACGGGCGGCAGCAGUGGGGAGUAUUGGGCAAUGGGCGCAAGCCUGACCCAGCAACGCCGCGUGAAGGAAGAAGGCUUUCGGGUUGUAAACUUCUUUUUUCAGGGACGAAGCACGUGACGGUACCUGACGACUAAGCCACGGCUAACUACGUGCCAGCAGCCGCGGUAAUACGGAGGUGGCAAGCGUUAUCCGGAUUUACUGGGUGUAAGGGGCGUGUAGGCGGGACUGCAAGUCAGUUGUGAAAACCACGGGCUCAAACCUGAGACUGCAGUUGAAACUGUAGUUCUUGAGUACUGGAGAGGCUGGCGGAAUUCGUAGUGUAGCGGUGAAAUGCGUAGAUAUUAGGAAGAACACCAGUGGCGAAGGCGGUCUGCUGGACAGCAACUGACGCUGAGGCGCGAAAGCGUGGGGAGCAAACAGGAUUAGAUACCCUGGUAGUC
rnacentral:rRNA from 1 species